ACAGUGCCACUCCUCAGGACACGGGACACGGGAGCCCGUCCCACCGAGAGGCUAAGGGAGGAAGGAGAAGAAGAAGAAACCACGUGCGGCCAACUUGUACCACUACCUGUGUGUACAACAUAACGAUUCCAUAUUUGUAUACACUUCGAAAGGAUCACCACAAAUGGUCAUCACCAAAAGACAGGAGAUAUCAAAUGCUGGCAUGGAUGCAGAGAAAAGGGAACCCUUGUGCACUGUUGGUGCAUUGUAAAUUGGUGCAGCCACUAUAAAAAACAGUA